rnacentral:tRNA from 1 species
UGCCGUUGUGGCGGAACUGGUAGACGCGCUGGACUCAAAAUCCAGUUCCCUUCUUGGGAGUGUGGGUUCGAUUCCCACCGACGGCAUC